CGAAAAUGUUUUGGUAUUUCAACAGGAGUUGGAGAAGACAUUCAGUUUCUGGGCUACCCCAGAAGGUGAUAUUUUCCAUCCUGCUGAGUGUAUGCAGCAAUUACUUGAGCAAGUUCGACGUCAUAAAGUCAGCAUUGAUGGAAAUGUUUGUACAGUAAUGGUUACCACUUUGGUUCUUGAGGGCUGGCAGAGGAAGCUUGAUCCAGAAUACAAUGUGUUGCACACAUUAGAGUCACUGCUAUUCAAAACCGACUGGGCUGAGUCUCUCUUUUACACAAUUGAAGGGCUCAUGGCCCCAUAGAAGAUCAACUCUUACCCAAUUUGAAUAUACGACAAAUGCCGGAGGGACUGCUAAUUUCUCUUGGACUUCAGAAUCAAGGAAGUAUAUGUUAGAAAUUCUAAUCAUGUAUCAAACAUUGAAAUCUAACUUGUUUCUGUAUUCUUAAGUAAAGGUAAUGGGGAAAUAAAAUGGACAGAAAGAAUAUUUUAUCGUUGUGGAAACUCUAAAUAUUUUCAGAAUGAACUUUGAUAUGCUUGUACUCUUAUGCUGCAUUUGCAACAAUCCAAUUAUCCAACUGCCAUAAUCUUAUAGACC